rnacentral:tRNA from 1 species
GCCUGGGUAGCUCAAUUGGUUGAGCGUCUGACUUUUGAGUUUGGCUCGGGUCAUGCACUUGGGGCUGUGGGAUCGAGCCCACCAUGGGCU